rnacentral:rRNA from 2 species
UAUACAUGCAAGUCGAACGAACUCUGGUAUUGAUUGGUGCUUGCAUCAUGAUUUACAUUUGAGUGAGUGGCGAACUGGUGAGUAACACGUGGGAAACCUGCCCAGAAGCGGGGGAUAACACCUGGAAACAGAUGCUAAUACCGCAUAACAACUUGGACCGCAUGGUCCGAGUUUGAAAGAUGGCUUCGGCUAUCACUUUUGGAUGGUCCCGCGGCGUAUUAGCUAGAUGGUGGGGUAACGGCUCACCAUGGCAAUGAUACGUAGCCGACCUGAGAGGGUAAUCGGCCACAUUGGGACUGAGACACGGCCCAAACUCCUACGGGAGGCAGCAGUAGGGAAUCUUCCACAAUGGACGAAAGUCUGAUGGAGCAACGCCGCGUGAGUGAAGAAGGGUUUCGGCUCGUAAAACUCUGUUGUUAAAGAAGAACAUAUCUGAGAGUAACUGUUCAGGUAUUGACGGUAUUUAACCAGAAAGCCACGGCUAACUACGUGCCAGCAGCCGCGGUAAUACGUAGGUGGCAAGCGUUGUCCGGAUUUAUUGGGCGUAAAGCGAGCGCAGGCGGUUUUUUAAGUCUGAUGUGAAAGCCUUCGGCUCAACCGAAGAAGUGCAUCGGAAACUGGGAAACUUGAGUGCAGAAGAGGACAGUGGAACUCCAUGUGUAGCGGUGAAAUGCGUAGAUAUAUGGAAGAACACCAGUGGCGAAGGCGGCUGUCUGGUCUGUAACUGACGCUGAGGCUCGAAAGUAUGGGUAGCAAACAGGAUUAGAUACCCUGGUAGUCCAUACCGUAAACGAUGAAUGCUAAGUGUUGGAGGGUUUCCGCCCUUCAGUGCUGCAGCUAACGCAUUAAGCAUUCCGCCUGGGGAGUACGGCCGCAAGGCUGAAACUCAAAGGAAUUGACGGGGGCCCGCACAAGCGGUGGAGCAUGUGGUUUAAUUCGAAGCUACGCGAAGAACCUUACCAGGUCUUGACAUACUAUGCAAAUCUAAGAGAUUAGACGUUCCCUUCGGGGACAUGGAUACAGGUGGUGCAUGGUUGUCGUCAGCUCGUGUCGUGAGAUGUUGGGUUAAGUCCCGCAACGAGCGCAACCCUUAUUAUCAGUUGCCAGCAUUAAGUUGGGCACUCUGGUGAGACUGCCGGUGACAAACCGGAGGAAGGUGGGGAUGACGUCAAAUCAUCAUGCCCCUUAUGACCUGGGCUACACACGUGCUACAAUGGAUGGUACAACGAGUUGCGAACUCGCGAGAGUAAGCUAAUCUCUUAAAGCCAUUCUCAGUUCGGAUUGUAGGCUGCAACUCGCCUACAUGAAGUCGGAAUCGCUAGUAAUCGCGGAUCAGCAUGCCGCGGUGAAUACGUUCCCGGGCCUUGUACACACCGCCCGUCACACCAUGAGAGUUUGUAACACCCAAAGUCGGUGGGGUAACCUUUUAGGAACCAGCCGC